UGGGGAGAAUAUGGCUCUCCUCUUGACUUUCCAGUCUUACACCUUGCUGUCUUCCCAUUGGAAUCACCUCCUAGGCCAGUUACAGCACACGUCCUGGUCAUAUUCAUUUAAAUCAUUGCUGGGGGCAAAGCCCAAUAAACUUCAUUUUCAGAAGGGGUGUGUGUGUGUGUGUGUGUGUGUGUGUGUGUGUGUGUGUGUGUUAUGUGUUUGUGUGUUUUUAUGUGUGGUGUGUGUGUGUGUGUUUUUGUAGUGUGUGGGGUGUGCAUUUAUGUGUGUGUGUGUGAGUGUGUGUGUGUUUUUGUAGUGUGUGGGGUGUGCAUUUAUGUGUGUGUGUGUAUGUUUGUAUGUGUGUAAUUGGAAUAACCGUUGCUUCACCUAUGUAAUGUGAGAUUCCCAUCUUCAAAUUGGUAAUGUUUUCAUUGAACUUAUAAUUUCAGGAAUGAGUUCUACUUUUCAGUGAUGCCAGAAUUCAGUAAAAAAGAUCAUAAGAUAUGAAACGCUUGAGUUCUUCUGUGUUAAGAAUGGAGGGUAAUACAACACACGGGCUAAGUCCUGGGCAAAGCCUGCAUAACCACCGGGCAACACUAGGGAGGUCAAGGAAAGAUGAGUUUUCUGUCCCCAAACCUUUACUCUGAGAGUGCAUGUACACUGAGAAUGUGCAAACUCUAUCAGCAGACCUGAGCUGCAGAAGCCUAUAAUUGCUAAGGGAUGGCAUGUGUUUCAGCACUGCCUAGGCUCUGCAUGCUAGUUACACAGCACUAAGUAGCUACAGAUAGGAACAAGGAAGGAAGGGGAGAAGAUGGCCAACGUUUAGAAGGCCAUACAGAGGGGGCCCAAGUGAGCUACCAAAGAGCAGGAUAAUCUGAGCAGGCAUGGGCUCUGGGCAGUGUGUCCCACUUAAUCGAGUAAAUUACCCAAUUCUAGAGCUCUCUUAAAUCAUUUGCAAAACUAGAUGUGUUGUGUAAACAAAGGACGCAUGCAUGAAGUUCAGCAUUGAGUGGAGGUCGGAUGAAUGGGAUCUGUCCAGGCGAGGCCAAAGCUAGAAUGGCAUUCUCCUUCUAAGUGUAGCUAAUCAGUAUUGUUACUCUCUGAGGAGUUAUUUCUAAAUGAGGGCCUGUGUGCAGUCUUCCUAGCUCAGUCAGUCCUAGGGAAACCUAGCUAGAACAGGAGGAUCAAUAGCUUUUAGGACUGACUUGGGUGCCAGAGAUCUUGCCAAACAGGGGGGCUGUUUUUCUAGUCACCAUAAUGUCAGACACUCCCAAAAUGUGGCUUCAUCAGUUAACUGAUGCAACAGAAAACCUUUGUGCCUGAAUCUGCCUCUUUAUUUGUUAGUCUAUGGUCUUACCCUUCAGGAUUUGUGAGCGACAAACCAAAGGCCUUAGAAACUGAAAGAAAUCGCCACCUCAGCUGCAUCUCCAGGAACGGGGUGAGGGAGUUUUAUUGAAGAAGAAGAAGAAAAAUAAGUUUGUUUUUAAAGAAUAACUGUUUUUUAUAUGAAUGUACACAUACAUACAUACAUACAUACAUACAUACAGACAGACAGACACACACACACACAAAGAGAGAGAGAGACAGACAGACAGACAGACAGACAAGUCAUGUCACCCAAAGAGAAAAGUAUACUUCUUGGAUAGAUGCCGUACAUCCAAGGUUAAUGUAAGAACUCAAAUUUCUUUCCUAGAGUGCAUCCUCACACACACACACUUGAGCCGUUUGACUCUUGGUGACCAGGCCAGCCUGAAUUUCAGGGUUUUAAUUAAAUCGCCUAUGGCCUGUGAAGGUGAGAACAGCUUUGCUUCAGAGGCAGAAUGGGCUGAAUUCAGUGAUGUACCUUAAGCCUGGCAGGCUGGUGGCUUUCCUCCUGGUCUUUGAAAAUCCAGGAGACAGCCUCAAGCAUUGUUUCAGGAGCUGCAUGUGGAAGACCCAUAAGGAACAAGACACUGGGCCUUGGUAGUCUGUGGCUCUUGUUUACUUUAGGUCAUUAGUCUGUUCGCUCAGGCGUGCUAGCCUGAAUGCACACUGAUAUUAGUUAAUGAGUUCAGUCUUCAACAGCCAGUGAGUGUGCUUUAUUAUGGACCCCGGCGGUAUUAGGGGUGCCUCUGACUAGAUAAACCAGUUGUUACAGUUCGAGUUAGACUUCGAAACUGUAGUUACUUGGGGGGAGGGAAAUGUGCAUGUUUAUCUUUCGAAUGUAAGAAAUUACUUUUCUGAUAUAAAUAAGAUCUGUUCCUUGAUUAAACAGAAUUAUGGGUUCAAUUGAGCCCAUGUUGAAAAAUUACCCAAUUUAUAGAGACAACGUAUGUUUUCUGUGGGCCUUUUGAAUAGAGAUCAACUCUACCUAGACUCGUGAUUGUGGUCCAUUGGAGCUGCUACAGUUUAAGUGGGAAUCUCGUCAAGAUGCAGAUUUCUGGGGUCUCAGGAAUAAAUUCUGUAUGCUGAGAGCAGGGCUAAUGCUAAUCCACAUUUUAAUAAGCCCAGUAGACUGAUUUAUGACUAAGCAUCAGAAUUUGAGGAAUUCCAUUCUCUUUCUGGCUGGUUUUCUUGGGGGUUGGUGAGCCUACUAGCCCUGAGUUUAGAACCCAAACCCUACUGAUAAAGUCGGUUUUUCACCCACAGGACAGGGAGCUCCGAGGAAGACUGAGACCCUUGUUCUUAUUUUAGUCUUUAAAGCAUUCCCCAGUCUCCCACCUUACAAAGAAACUCCCACUGAAGUUCAGGAGGGCCUUCCCUAAGGCAUCUUCUUAUUCUAAACAGGCCAAGCAGUCUUUGCCCUGAAGCAGAUCCCUGCUGGUGCUCCUCUACACAGCUUCCCCUCUGUGAGCCCCAGCUGGUCAGUUCCCACUUCUUCUAAACCCGAAUCCCUGCCUCUUUAGUGGCUCUCAUUCACCGGAGAUCCCUAAGAAAGGGCAAGUAGGGGACAUAAGAUGGUCUCUCACGGAGGUAUUUUUCAAAUAUGCCUCAAGGAAAUUGACCUGAAAUUUUGUAACCAAGCUCUUGACUACUCCACAUAAUUACAUUAUGUAACAACUUCUCUUAAACAGUGUAGAUUUCAAAUAUCUCAUGCCAGGAGGGCUGUAAGUAUGUGUGCAUACUUGUUGGACCAGGACUCCAGGCGAUUGGAUUGGUUCAGAAAUUAGAGUGAUUAUGUAUCAAGUGGGUCCCCGGUACAAAACCCCAUGCAAGCUAACUUACUCGCUAUUUAGCAAGGAUUGUGCUUUUAAAAGAAAAAAGUCCUCAGCGAUUAGCAUUGCCACAACAGAAAGCUGUGGGAUCCCCCGGAAAUGUCUGAACUUCACAGUUCAGCUCUCAUUGUUCUCGGCUUCCAGAAUCCCUUAAUUGGAAACGUCUCUUGUAUGAUUCCAUGAGAAUGGAUGUCUCCAAAUUCCUUGGUGUGUUGGAUGUUUUGUUUUCUCUCAACAGUACAUAUCAUGGAAUGUCUUACAACAUAUUCCCAUCAGUAACAAACUGGCUUUGGCCUUCUUUAAAAGCCACGCCAGCCCAUCCUACGUGAGAGAACAAGUUCCUAACAUUAGGAGAGCCUUGAACACAGAGCCCUAAGCUGACAGAGUCUGCCCUGCAGGAGGCAGGAGACAGGUCCUCUGUGUGACUCUAGCCACAUGAGAACCUCGAAAGGCUAAGUUGGCUUACCCCACUUACAAGCUGACAGUUAGUUCACCACGGUUCCCUGGACAGGAAGACAGACAGGAAAGAAGAGUGUGUUACUCACAGAAUUGGGAAGAGCUGGAGGAUCAGCAACCCACUGUGCCCGUGAGCCUCAGUCGCCCCUGAACAAUGCACAGAGCUCUGAGAGGCACCUGUGCAAGCUGUGAGUCGUGCUGCCCGAAGAAAAGUUGGGAACCCAGCGUUUCGUGCUGGGCCCCAAGCAAGCCUUGGUUUUUAAGGACACAAGAACUUCUCUCUCCUCUCUGUCUACCCAUGGG
rnacentral:lncRNA from 1 species